rnacentral:snRNA from 1 species
UUCCUUUUGACAUCAUCUC